GAAUCAGGUAGGACUACCCGCUGAACUUAAGCAUAUCA
rnacentral:rRNA from 1 species